rnacentral:rRNA from 1 species
AGUGAACGCUGGCGGUAGGCCUAACACAUGCAAGUCGAACGGCAGCACAGUAAGAGCUUGCUCUUACGGGUGGCGAGUGGCGGACGGGUGAGGAAUACAUCUGAAUCUACUUUUUCGUGGGGGAUAACGUAGGGAAACUUACGCUAAUACCGCAUACGACCUACGGGUGAAAGCAGUGGAUCUUCGGACCUUGCGCGAUUGAAUGAGCCGAUGUCGGAUUAGCUAGUUGGCGGGGUAAAGGCCCACCAAGGCGACGAUCCGUAGCUGGUCUGAGAGGAUGAUCAGCCACACUGGAACUGAGACACGGUCCAGACUCCUACGGGAGGCAGCAGUGGGGAAUAUUGGACAAUGGGCGCAAGCCUGAUCCAGCCAUACCGCGUGGGUGAAGAAGGCCUUCGGGUUGUAAAGCCCUUUUGUUGGGAAAGAAAAGCAGCAGGUUAAUACCCCGCUGUUCUGACGGUACCCAAAGAAUAAGCACCGGCUAACUUCGUG